rnacentral:rRNA from 1 species
UACGUAGGGCGCAAGCGUUGUCCGGAAUUAUUGGGCGUAAAGAGCUCGUAGGCGGUCUGUCGCGUCGGAUGUGAAAGCCCGGGGCUUAACCCCGGGUCUGCAUUCGAUACGGGCAGACGUAGAGUGUGGUAGGGGAGACUGGAAUUCCUGGUGUAGCGGUGAAAUGCGCAGAUAUCAGGAGGAACACCGGUGGCGAAGGCGGGACUCUGGGCCGAUACUGACGCUGAGGAGCGAAAGCGUGGGGAGCAAACAGG